rnacentral:rRNA from 1 species
GAUGAACGCUGGCGGCGUGCCUAAUACAUGCAAGUCGAGCGAACAGACGAGGAGCUUGCUCCUCUGACGUUAGCGGCGGACGGGUGAGUAACACGUGGAUAACCUACCUAUAAGACUGGGAUAACUUCGGGAAACCGGAGCUAAUACCGGAGAAUAUAUUGAACCGCAUGGUUCAAUAGUGAAAGACGGUUUUGCUGUCACUUAUAGAUGGAUCCGCGCCGCAUUAGCUAGUUGGUAAGGUAACGGCUUACCAAGGCAACGAUGCGUAGCCGACCGGAGAGGGUGAUAGGCCACCCUGGAGCGGGGACAGGGACCAGACUCCUGCGGGAGGCAGCAGUAGGGAAUCUGCCGCAGUGGGCGAAAGCAUGACGGAGCAACGCCGCGUGAGUGAUGGAGGUCUUCGGAUCGGAAAACUCUGUUAUGAGGGAAGAACAAAUGUGUAAGUAGCUAUGCACGUCUUGACGGUAACUAAUCAGAAAGCCACGGCUAACUACGUG